rnacentral:rRNA from 1 species
GGUCAGCAUACUGCCGUGAAUACGUUCCCGGGCCUUGUACACACCGCCCGUCACACCAUGAGAGUUGGAGAUACCCGAAGCCUAUGAGCUAACUUUUAGAGGCAGUAGUCGAAGGUAGAAUCAAUGAUUGGGGUGAAGUCGUAACAAGGUAUC